rnacentral:rRNA from 1 species
GACGAACGCUGGCGGCGUGCUUAACACAUGCAAGUCGAACGGAAAGGCCCUGCUUUUGUGGGGUGCUCGAGUGGCGAACGGGUGAGUAACACGUGAGUAACCUGCCCUUGACUUUGGGAUAACUUCAGGAAACUGGGGCUAAUACCGGAUAGGAGCUCCUGCUGCAUGGUGGGGGUUGGAAAGUUUCGGCGGUUGGGGAUGGACUCGCGGCUUAUCAGCUUGUUGGUGGGGUAGUGGCUUACCAAGGCUUUGACGGGUAGCCGGCCUGAGAGGGUGACCGGCAACAUUGGGACUGAGAUACGGACCAGACUCCUACGGGAGGCAGCAGGGGGGAAUAUUGCACAAUGGGCGGAAGCCUGAUGCAGCAACGCCGCGUGCGGGAUGACGGCCUUCGGGUUGUAAACCGCUUUCGCCUGUGACGAAGCGUGAGUGACGGUAAUGGGUAAAGAAGCACCGGCUAACUACGUG